rnacentral:rRNA from 1 species
AUUGAACGCUGGCGGCAUGCCUUACACAUGCAAGUCGAACGGCAGCACGGGUGCUUGCACCUGGUGGCGAGUGGCGAACGGGUGAGUAAUACAUCGGAACAUGUCCUGUAGUGGGGGAUAGCCCGGCGAAAGCCGGAUUAAUACCGCAUACGAUCUACGGAUGAAAGCGGGGGACCUUCGGGCCUCGCGCUAUAGGGUUGGCCGAUGGCUGAUUAGCUAGUUGGUGGGGUAAAGGCCUACCAAGGCGACGCUCAGUAGCUGGUCUGAGAGGACGACCAGCCACACUGGGACUGAGACACGGCCCAGACUCCUACGGGAGGCAGCAGUAGGGAAUUUUGGACAAUGGGCGAAAGCCUGAUCCAGCAAUGCCGCGUGUGUGAAGAAGGCCUUCGGGUUGUAAAGCACUUUUGUCCGGAAAGAAAUCCUUGGCCCUAAUACGGUCGGGGGAUGACGGUACCGAAAGAAUAAGCACCGGCUAACUACGUG